rnacentral:rRNA from 1 species
AUGUCCCUACGGGACGCAGCAGUGAGGAAUAUUGGUCAAUGGGCGGGAGCCUGAACCAGCCACGUCGCGUGAAGGAAGAAGGUACUUAGUAUUGUAAACUUCUUUUGUCGGGGAACAAAGGCGGAGACGCGUCUCCGGGUGAGUGUACCCGAAGAAAAAGCAUCGGCUAACUCCGUGCCAGCAGCCGCGGUAAUACGGAGGAUGCGAGCGUUAUCCGGAUUUAUUGGGUUUAAAGGGUGCGCAGGCGGUAGAUCAAGUCCGCGGUAAACUGUCGGGGCUCAACCCCGGCCGGCCGUUGAAACUGG